UGGGGAAUUUUGCACAAUGGAGGAAACUCUGAUGCAGCGACGCCGCGUGAGUGAUGAAGAUCUUCGGAUUGUAAAACUCUGUCCUUAGUGAAGAUAAUGACAGUAACUAAGAAGCAAGCCCUGGCUAAAUACGUGCCAGCAGCCGCGGUAAUACGUAUGGGGCAAGCGUUGUCCGGAAUUAUUGGGCGUAAAGGGUACGUAGGCGGUUUAAUAAGUCCUAAUUAAAAGGCUAUGGCUCAACCAUAGUAUGGUUAGGAAACUGUUGAACUUGAGUAGAUGAGGGGAAAGUGGAAUUCCAUGUGUAGCGGUGAAAUGCGUAGAUAUAUGGAGGAACACCAAUGGCGAAGGCAACUUUCUGGAAUCAAACUGACGCUGAGGUACGAAGGCAUGGGGAGCAAACAGG
rnacentral:rRNA from 1 species